rnacentral:rRNA from 1 species
AACGAACGCUGGCGGCAGGCUUAACACAUGCAAGUCGAGCGCAUCCUUCGGGGUGAGCGGCAGACUGGUGAGUAACGCGUGGGAAUCUACCUUUUGCUACGGAAUAGCUCCGGGAAACUGGAAUUAAUACCGUAUGUGCCCUUAGGGGGAAAGAUUUAUCGGCAAGAGAUGAGCCCGCGUUGGAUUAGCUAGUUGGUGGGGUAAAGGCCUACCAAGGCGACGAUCCAUAGCUGGUCUGAGAGGAUGAUCAGCCACAUUGGGACUGAGACACGGCCCAAACUCCUACGGGAGGCAGCAGUGGGGAAUAUUGGACAAUGGGCGCAAGCCUGAUCCAGCCAUGCCGCGUGAGUGAUGAAGGCCUUAGGGUUGUAAAGCUCUUUCACCGGAGAAGAUAAUGACGGUAUCCGGAGAAGAAGCCCCGGCUAACUUCGUG